GAGUACCACGAGACACGUGGAACCUUGUGGGAAUACGGGAGGACCACCUCCUAAGGCUAAAUACUACUUAGUGACCGAUAGUGCAUAGUACUGUGAAGGAAAGGUGAAAAGAACCCCGGGAGGGGAGUGAAAGAGAACCUGAAACCCUGUGUUUACAAGCUGUGGAACCACCUUAUGAGUGGAACCGCGUACUUUUUGUAGAACGGUCCGGCGAGUUAUGGUUGCUGGCGAGGUUAAGAACGAAAAGUUUGGAGCCGAAGGGAAACCGAGUUUUAACUGAGCGCAUAGUCAGCAGACAUAGACCCGAAACCGGGUGAUCUACCCAUGUCCAGGUUGAAGCCGCUGUAAAAGGUGGUGGAGGACCGAACGCACAUCCGUUGAAAAGGGUGGCGAUGAGGUGUGGGUAGGGGAGAAAUUCCAAUCGAACUCGGAGAUAGCUGGUUCUCCCCGAAAUAGCUUUAGGGCUAGCCUUGAGUUAGACACAUGGAGGUAGAGCACUGAAUCGCCGCGGGGGCGUCAAAGCUUACCAAAGCCUAUCAAACUCCGAAUGCCAUGUUGCCGAUGCUCAGGAGUCAGACUGCACGAGAUAAGUUGGGUAGUCGAGAGGGAAAGAGCCCAGAUCACCAGCUAAGGUCCCAAAGUACAUGUUAAGUGGUAAAGGAUGUGAGAUUUCGAAGACAACUAGGAUGUUGGCUCAGAAGCAGCCAUUCAUUCAAAGAGUGCGUAAUAGCUCACUAGUCGAGAGGUCUUGCGCCGAAAAUGUCCGGGGCUAAAACAUGACACCGAAGCUGUGGAAUCAUUUAUGAUUGGUAGGGGAGCAUUGCUAAAGAAACGAAGCAGUACCGUAAGGAGCUGUGGAUUUUUAGGAAGAGAGAAUGCCGGAAUGAGUAGCGAGACGAAGGUGAGAAUCCUUCGGGCCGAAUAUCUAAGGUUUCCAGAGUAAAGCUGAUCUGCUCUGGGUAAGUCGGGACCUAAGGCGAGGACGAAAGUCGUAGUCGAUGGAUAACAGGUGGAGAUUCCUGUACUUCAUAUAUUCAGAACUGUGGGGACACAGGCAGAGAGCCAGAGCCGGGAAUGGAAAGACCGGUACAAGCGAGGUAGUCGUGCUGCAGGCAAAUCCGCAGCAUAAGACGAAGACGUGAUGUGGAGCGAACCAAAGGGUAGCGAAGCUGGUGAGCUGGCUGUCGAGAAAAGCCGCUAUAGCGAUAUAUGAACCCGUACCGUAAACCGACACAGGUGGAUGAGGAGAGAAUCCUAAGGCCGACGGGAGAAGCAUUGUUAAGGAACUCGGCAAAAUGACCCCGUAACUUCGGGAGAAGGGGUGCCUGCUAACGCAGGCCGCAGAGAAUAGGUCCAAGCAACUGUUUAGCAAAAACACAGGUCUAUGCGAAACCGAAAGGUGAAGUAUAUGGGCUGACGCCUGCCCGGUGCUGGAAGGUUAAGAGGAGGGCUUAGGAGCAAUCCGAAGGUCUGAAUUUAAGCCCCAGUAAACGGCGGCCGUAACUAUAACGGUCCUAAGGUAGCGAAAUUCCUUGUCGGGUAAGUUCCGACCCGCACGAAAGGCGUAAUGA
rnacentral:rRNA from 1 species